rnacentral:tRNA from 1 species
GCUCGGAUGGCGGAAUUGGUAGACGCGCCGGACUUAAAAUCCGGUGGACAGAAAUGUCCGUGCGGGUUCAAGUCCCGCUCCGAGUA